rnacentral:rRNA from 1 species
UACGAAGGGGGCUAGCGUUGUUCGGAAUUACUGGGCGUAAAGCGCACGUAGGCGGCUUUCUAAGUCAGGGGUGAAAUCCUGGAGCUCAACUCCAGAACUGCCUUUGAUACUGGAGAGCUUGAGUCGGGGAGAGGUGAGUGGAACUCCGAGUGUAGAGGUGAAAUUCGUAGAUAUUCGGAAGAACACCAGUGGCGAAGGCGGCUCACUGGUCCGGUACUGACGCUGAUGUGCGAAAGCGUGGGGAGCAAACAGG